rnacentral:ribozyme from 1 species
CCCUGGCUCAGCCGGCCGCCUCAACGUGGUGCCAGGGUCUAGUACUCUCUUACUAGAGAGGAAGAUAAGUGCCUG